GAAAGAAGUGCUAGUUACCACUCACAAUACUACUCCCUAUUUGCGAGCAUAUUCCCAUUGUUCUAGGCACAAGCCUGGGAUUGCUCUAUUUCUAAUUAACAUGUCAAACCAAACAACCUUCAGUGUUUCUGUUUUGAAUGAUAAUGCUCCUUAUCCAAGAAAUUACAAGUUGAAGAGUUAUUCUUAUGGAGGAUCAGAGAAAAGGGAAGAGUACCAUUUGACUCCUGAAGAUGGAAAUAUUCAGAGUGAUGUAGUGCUACUGAAUGGAACGCCAUUGAAGCUUACAAGUUCAUUAGAAAUUCCUGAAAUGAAACCCAAGUAUGUCGAUCCUUCGACUCCGAUCACCGUUGCUCCUGAUUCCUUUGUUUAUGUUACCAUUAAAGAUUUCAAGGCUCCUGCUUGUGCUUAGCUUAGCCGUAGAGAACCUGCUUGUGCUUAGCUUAGCCGUAGAGAA
rnacentral:misc_RNA from 1 species